rnacentral:tRNA from 1 species
UCCUCGGUGGCUCAGAUGGAUAGAGCGUCUGCCAUGUAAGCAGGAGGUCCCGGGUUCGAGUCCUGGUCGGGGCA